UGCCAGCCGCCGCGGUAAUACAUAGGGUGCGAACGUUGCUCGGAAUCACUGGGCGUAAAGCGCGUGUAGGCGGGUUGACAAGUCAGAUGUGAAAGCCCCGGGCUCAACCUGGGAACUGCAUUUGAAACUGUCAGUCUUGAGUAAUGGAGAGGAAAGUGGAAUUCCUGGUGUAGAGGUGAAAUUCGUAGAUAUCAGGAGGAACACCGGUGGCGAAGGCGGCUUUCUGGACAUUUACUGACGCUGAGACGCGAAAGCGUGGGGAGCAAACAGGAUUAGAUA
rnacentral:rRNA from 1 species